ACAAGGUCAGCUCAGCCGCAAACGGAGCCCCUGGUAAUUGUUUCCGCCACCAGGCAGUGGGAGUGAAGGGACAGCGCGGCCUUGCUAGGCUAAGCUUGCAAUCUGAAGAUCCAUUCACCCGCUAUUUCUUGAGACCUUGCCAGUUCCCCGCUGAGCCGCGGGCUCCUCACUUGUAAAACGAGGACGGAUGCCUGCGCCAGAAGUCAACCAGAGUUUUUCCCGGCGUGGGCACCAGCCCAAGGUCGAGUUUUCCUUUUCUAGUCUCAUCUCUGCUCUGACCCCAAGCUCAAAGAGGGACUGGGCUACGGAAGAUAUCCAUGGCAUGCGCCCCAGCUCUCCGGCCGGUGCCGGCUGCUUCCUUCUCGGAUUCCAGAGUGCCUAGAGGCCAGGAAAGGGAGAUGGUCCUGCCAGCCUGGGGUAGAGACUAGGGGGCCAGGCACUGGCGCUGACGCAGGCAAGCAGGGCGCCACUGACUGGUCCCCUCCCACCUCGGCGGGUUGGGGGAUGGCGGACCAGCCCCUCCUGGGUGAGCCCUAGCCUGGGGCUUCCUAUUUCGGGAGCCGGGGGCGUGGGCCACGUCUCAUGUGAUGCGAGGGCUAUUUAAAGCAGCAGCCCGGGCACGGAGCCGCCGUCCGAAUCUUUGCACGCCUGCUCUCUCGCAGCUUGUCUCAGCCUAGCCCAGCAUCACUAUGGUGGACGCUUUCCUGGGCAACUGGAAGCUAGUGGACAGCAAGAAUUUCGAUGACUACAUGAAGUCACUCGGUGUGGGUUUUGCUACCAGGCAGGUGGCCAGCAUGACCAAGCCUACCACAAUCAUUGAAAAGAAUGGGGAUACUAUCAUCCUAAAAACACACAGCACCUUCAAGAACACAGAGAUCAGCUUUAAGCUGGGGGUGGAAUUCGAUGAGACAACAGCAGAUGACAGGAAGGUUAAGUCCAUUGUGACACUGGAUGGAGGCAAACUUGUUCAUCUACAGAAGUGGGAUGGGCAAGAGACGACACUUGUGCGGGAGCUAAUUGAUGGAAAACUCAUCCUGAUGGAGUUUCGCUCUUGUUACCCAGGCUGGAGUGCAAUGGCGUGAUCUCAGCUCACCGCAACUUCCGCCUCCUGGGUUCAGGCAAUUCUCCUGCCUCAGCCUCCUGAGUAGCUGGGAUUACAGGCACGCGCCACUGUGCCCAGACACUCACCCACGGCACUGCAGUUUGCACUCGCACUUAUGAGAAAGAGGCAUGACCUGACUGCUGUUGCUGACUCCUACUCUGCCAAUCAGCUACCCCUCGACUCAACACCACAUUGCCUCAUUUCUUCCUCUGCAUUUUGUACAAAUCCACAAAUUCUUCUAGGGUCAGGUGCCACUGGCCUGGAUCCACUUUCAGUUUCCAUUGUGUAUGUGGUUUUUUUGUUAACGGCAUUCAUAGGGUGCUCUGAGAUCAAUAAAGCAGAGCCAAGGCCA